UACGUAGGUGGCAAGCGUUGUCCGGAAUUAUUGGGCGUAAAGCGCGCGCAGGCGGCCCUUUAAGUCUGAUGUGAAAGCCCACGGCUCAACCGUGGAGGGUCAUUGGAAACUGGGGGACUUGAGUGCAGGAGAGAAGAGUGGAAUUCCACGUGUAGCGGUGAAAUGCGUAGAGAUGUGGAGGAACACCAGUGGCGAAGGCGACUCUUUGGCCUGUAACUGACCGCUGAGGCGCGAAAGCGUGGGGAGCAAACAGG
rnacentral:rRNA from 1 species